GACGGGGGGGGCAAGUGUUCUUCGGAAUCACUGGGCGUAAAGCGCACGUAGGCGGAUUGUUAAGUCAGGGGUGAAAUCCUGGAGCUCAACUCCAGAACUGCCUUUGAUACUGGCGAUCUCGAGUCCGGGAGAGGUGAGUGGAACUGCGAGUGUAGAGGUGAAAUUCGUAGAUAUUCGCAAGAACACCAGUGGCGAAGGCGGCUCACUGGCCCGGUACUGACGCUGAGGUGCGAAAGCGUGGGGAGCAAACAGG
rnacentral:rRNA from 1 species